rnacentral:tRNA from 1 species
GAAUUUUAAAUAACUAAGCCGCUAACUUAAUUUAUAGUGCUCAUGCAUUAAAAAUUCU